CCUUCCUCUUGUUUUUAUUAAAUAUAUGGAGUAUAUCUCUAAUGUUAGAAGACCGUCGGACUGUACCACAGAAGAAUUAUCUCUGAACAAGUAGCUAGCUUACCGGGUAGAUGUAUUCUUAUUAUUUUAUCCUUAUGCUAAACCACUGGCCUUGUUAGUUGCCACUCUGCUCCUUAUUUUUCUUGGUGGCUUAGCACUUUUUGGCGUGAUAGAUGAUAGCAUAGCAAAUUGCCUUUGGUUAUCAUGGACUUAUGUUGCAGAUUCAGGAAAUCAUGCUAAUUCUGAAGGCAUUGGUCCACGCCUAGUGUCAGUUUCUGUUAGUUUUGGUGGAAUGCUGAUAUUUGCCAUGAUGCUCGGGCUAGUUUUUGAUGCAAUCUCUGAGAAAUUUGAUUCACUCAGGAAGGGAAGAAGUGAAGUAGUUGAGCAGAACCAUACACUUAUAAUUGGUUGGAGUGAUAAACUGGUGGGUCCUUCUAAUUAGCUAGAGUUUGUUCUUUCACAAGCUCAUAUGUUCAAAUGAUCGGCGUUCAUUUUCCUUUAUCUAGAUAACUGCCCUCAAACUGCUGACUAAUUUUAGCACCAGAUCGGAAUAGCAAUCCUCCUAGUAUGGUAUUUCUUAUUUUUGCAUAGCUCAGAAGCUCUCUCUAAUUUUACUUAAGAUUUCCCCUAUCAUUACUCCAAGAAAAUGAGAGAAGCUCCAAACCUUUGAGGUAUUCUUUUCUUUCUGUAAUUGUCAAUUGAGUGUGGUAGAAUCAGAAGAACUACAUUAACUUUUUAUUACCUAUUUGUCUGCCAAGUAGAUUGAUGCUAUCUUUUAUCAAUUGUUCUAAGCCCUUCCCAAUUAUUUACCAUGCUCCAUGAAAAUAACAAGAUUGACUAGGAAAACAGGCUUCAUUAUGUAAGGAAUUGGAACACAAUUGAUAAAAAUUGUUGAGCUUUGACUACUUGGCCUUGCAAAAAACUUAAAUAUUUUUUAAAAAUUGGUUUAGUUUACAAAAUAAAUAAAUAAACACUUAAAAUAUACAUAAUGCAGCUGAGGUUUACUAAUGUUUGCUGGAGAUUUCUUAGUAUAACUCUGUAUUUUUUGGGCAACUUAAAGUGAUUCGAAAGAAGUAAUGGUCUCAUUCACUAAUAAUAUAUCUGUAUACUCAGGGAUCGUUAUUGAAUCAACUCGCAAUAGCUAAUGAGAGUUUGGUGGGGGGGAACUGUUGUAGUCAUGGCUGAGCGAGAUAAAGAAGAGAUGGAACUUGAUAUUACUAAAAUGUAGUUUGAUUUUAGAGGAAUUUCUGUCAUAUGCAGAAGUGGAAGCCCCUUGAUUUUGGCUGACCUGAAAAAGGUGUCUGUCUCUAAGGCUCGUGCAAUAGUUGUCCUCGCUGAAGAUGGGAAUGCUGACCAGAGUGAUGCCCGUGCUCUAAGGACAGUUUUAAGCCUUACAGAAGUAAAGGAAGGACUUCGGGGCCACCUAGUGGUUGAACUCAGUGAUCUUGAUAAUGAGGUCCUUGUGAAGCUAGUUGGUGGAGAUCUUGUUGAAACAGUGGUAGCUCAUGAUGU